CAAGACUUUUACAUUUUUUUUCUCUACAUCUAUAUAACAUGAAUGAUGAAUGAGAUUUUACAAUAUAAAAAUUGUUUGUCAUCAACUUCCUCCACCAAAAUCACCCCAUCCAGCUCCUCCUCCAUCUCCACCAUGGCCUCCUCCAUCUCCACCAUGGUCUCCUCCGGCUUCCCCAAGAUCACCGCAUAGUGAGAAACCUUCACAGCAACUUACCAAAUAAAAACUCUUUCUUCUAUUCAUCUUAGUUUGCUUAGAAUCUUGAGGUCCUUUAUAGCUUUGAGAAACAUUAUUACUCAAAUAUUUAUUUUGUUUCUUCUUUCGUCCAAAGCAAAAACACCCCAUAAUAACCUGUUUCUGAAUUCUCUAUGUAGUUUUGUUUCUCAAUUUUAUGAAAGAUUGAAAUCAAAGGCAUGGCCUUUGCUAAAUAUAUAGGUGAUUAAAAUAUGGAUGUAUGAACAAUUCUUUGUCCGUGUAAGGCUUGAUCAACAAUUAAAAUCAGUAUGUUUAUUUUUUAUUCUUCCAAUUUUUUUGACUUGGUAGUUAAGACUAAGAAUUUUUAUUUUUUCAAGAAACUUUUUUUUAUUCUUUCAAGUUGGUACUACGCGAUUACUUGUAGAAUGUUUAUGGUUAAGACUAAGAGGACAAUUAAGACCAAAAGAGGUCUUCACCAUAUCAAUAUAAUGUGUAUAUUUAGUUUUCCAAUAAUUUUUAUUGGAUCUCUUCCGUGUAAACCGAAUAUUUUUUACGUGCAACUGCAGAGACUAAUAUGAUAGAACCACAAUAUAUGAUAAAAUUCUCUCUCGGUACAUAUUUUUUUUAAAUCUAAAUAUUCAAAUUAAAAACAUAAAUAUUGAAGCUUUAAACACAAUAAGGGGCUUUUAGUCUCUUUGUAUAUAUAGUGACCAAAAG
rnacentral:lncRNA from 1 species